rnacentral:lncRNA from 1 species
AUUGAUUCCACUUGAGCAUAUUGAUUGAUAUUGUAGUAGAUUCCUCUAUAAUCUUGAUUCUCCAUGCUUGAUUAUUCUGUACAUGCAUUUGAGGGAACAUUGAGAGGAAUUACGAGGGGUUGAUGAGUAAUCAAAUUGAUUCCGAAUUGUGAAAUGAUUUCUUUUGUAAAUUGAUUUCAUUUUCUCUAUUUUAAAGAUUUGUAGAGCCUUUUUAGUGGUAUAUUGAGUUGUAUUGCACUUCCUUGACCCUCACUCCUAACCCUGAUGUUAGUUUAUGAUUGGGUCAUGAUCGAGUGAGUGGUAGUCUUGAUCAUACUCCUUUUUAGUAGAGUAUUGGGAGGGUGCAUUAUGGCAUUUAUGCAUGGCUUGGC